rnacentral:rRNA from 1 species
AUUGAACGCUGGCGGCGUGCUUAACACAUGCAAGUCGAUCGGUAACAGGUGUAGCAAUACAUGCUGACGAGAGGCGGACGGGUGAGUAAUGCUUGGGAAUCUGCCUAUUAGUGGGGGACAACCCGGGGAAACGUCGGGCGUAAUACCGCAUACGCUCUACGGAGGAAAGCCGGGGACCGGCAAGGCCUGGCGCUAAUAGAUGAGCCCAAGUCGGAUUAGCUAGUUGGUAGGGUAACGGCCUACCAAGGCGACAAUCCGUAGCUGGUCUGAGAGGACGACCA